AAGUGAGGAGCGUCUCUGCCCGCCCGCCAUCCCAUCUAGGAAGUGAGGAGCGCCUCUUUCCGGCCGCCAUCCCAUCUAGGAAGUGAGGAGUGUCUCUGCCCGGCCGCCCAUCGUCUGAGAUGUGGGGAGCGCCUCUGCCCCGCCGCCCCGUCUGGGAUGUGAGGAGCGCCUCUGCCCUGCCGUGACCCCGUCUGGGAGCUAAAAUUCAAGUAAUGGACUAUUUGGAUGAUAGCGUGCCCGGAAUUGGUUCCUUCCGAUAUUCUUGGUCUCGCUGACUUUAACAAUGAAGCCUCAGACCAUUGCGCACAGUCCAGUGUUAAGACAGGGCAUGAGGACCAGCUCCACUGGAAACACCAGCCAGCGUCUUAACCGGGGAGGAAGGAAGGUGUGUGCUGGGCAAGUGGGGCAUGUGACAAAGUGGAACUGAAGUGGCCGUCGCUUGCCUUUAGGCCAGCAGUAAUGGCGAGGUUGGAGCACUCUGGCCAGGCUCCCUGUCCAAGAUCCUUCAGCCUCAUCCUAAGGUUCCUCAGCAGCCUUUGCUCAUAGGCUGGCUUAACUAUGAUCCUGCUGUGGGAAGAUAAAAAAACUGACCGAAGGAGAUAGGCUGAGUAAUGGCUCCCUCAAGAUGUCCAUAUUUCAUCCCUGGAACCUGUGAAUACAUUUCUUUAUGUGGCAAAAGGGACUUUGUGGCUGUGAUUAAACUAAGAACCUUGAAAUGAGGAGAUUCUCCGGGAUCGUCCAGAUGCAUCAAAUGUAACAAGAAGGAGUCAGAGUCAGGCUGGAAGCCGCUAUGCUGCUGGCUUUGAAGGCAGAUGAAGGGGCCAAGGAAUUAGGGUGGUCUCUAGAAUCUGGAAAAGGCAAUGAAAUUGAUUCUCCCCUAGAGCUUUCAGAAGGAAUGCAGCCUUGCCCACACCUUCAUUUUAGACCAGUGAAACUGAUUUUAGACUUCUGACUGCCAGAACUGUAAGAUAAUAAAUGUAUAUUGUUUGAAGCUACUAGGUUUGUGGUCAUUUGUUACAUCAGCAACAG
rnacentral:lncRNA from 10 species